CAACACUACCCAAUUGCACAUCCCUUUCAUUAACAGAAAUCCUCAGAUGCUACGGGGGUAUAAUACCAUUCAACCAAAUGCCCCUGAGUUGAUGUUGCAACGAAAAGAUUAAUCGCAAUUUACACAUAUAUGUGCCGGGAUUUUCAUAUCUCAUCUCAAUUAUUCAUUUAAUCAGGCUUGUUUUUGAUACCCAUUAUUAACAAAAUUAUGAACAUUUCAGGUUUAUCAUUGACAAGCUGUUUCGGAUAAAUAUUUUGAAUAAACAAGAUAAAACAUGUCCCUGCAGCAGAAUUAGAUCUCAAACGGAGCUAUUGACAAACCAGCCAACAAACUAAUCAAUUCCAAUGGACAGGAACUCAACGAUGUUCACCAGGAAUGCAAUUCGAAACUAUAAUAAAUCUAAACUCAGCUUCAUAUAUGGUAUCUGAGUGCUCAAGACCAGGCUAUUUUGUUGUUCCAUAUUUGCGUGAUCAUCACAUCAUCAUGCUGGAUCUGAAAUCCAACUAUUCAAUAAGUGUAGCCUAUUCACUCUUGGAAGUCGGGUCUGACAUCUGCUUGCAACAAGAAAGUAUGCAUCCU
rnacentral:sRNA from 1 species